rnacentral:rRNA from 1 species
CUACGGGUGGCAGCAGUGGGGAAUUUUGGACAAUGGGGGCAACCCUGAUCCAGCAAUGCCGCGUGAGUGAAGAAGGCCUUCGGGUUGUAAACCUCUUUCAGGAGGGACGAAAAUGACGGUACCUCCAGAAGAAGCCCCGGCCAACUACGUGCCAGCAGCCGCGGUAAUACGUAGGGGGCGAGCGUUGUCCGGAAUCAUUGGGCGUAAAGAGCUCGUAGGCGGCUCAGUAAGUCGAUCGUGAAAGACCGGGGCUCAACCCCGGGAGGUCGGUCGAUACUGCUGUGGCUUGAGUCCGGUAGAGGAAGGUGGAAUUCCCGGUGUAGCGGUGAAAUGCGCAGAUAUCGGGAGGAACACCAGUAGCGAAGGCGGCCUUCUGGGCCGGCACUGACGCUGAGGAGCGAAAGCGUGGGUAGCAAACAGGAUUAGAUACCCUCGUAGUC